UUACGGCCAUAUCACGUUGAAGCAUCGGUUCUUAUACGAUCACCGAAGUUAAGCAACGUCAUGUCUGGUCAGUACCUAGAUGGUUGAUCGCUUGAAAAUGUCAGGUCCUGUA